AUGAUUUUUGCUCCUAUGUUUCUUGAUUUUAUGUGAAGUUUUAAUAUCUGUUUUAUUAUACAUCACACUGGGUGUCUGAUAGAUGGAAAAUGUGAUUUUAAGUUUAAUGAAUUAUCUCACUUUAUCUAGUGCUUCUGAUGUUCAUAGGAUUGUGCAGAUAAAUAUAUAAAAGAGAGAUCAAGAGAUCCCUGUCCCAUGGAGCUUACAAUGUAAAGUUCAGCAGUCAGGAACACAACUGGGAAGUUGAAAGGAAGGAGAAGCAGGAACAGGGAGCAAUGAUUAUGGGGGGAAAUACCACUGUAUGUACUUAGGGUUGUUCAUACAAAAGUAGGCCUAUUGAAAUAAAUGGAAUUGAGGUUGGUAAUGACAAACUGAAGUUACAUUGAUGUCAGUGGGUCUACUCUAAGUAGGACUAUGUUUGUAUUCAACCCAUAGGUUUUGUUUCUCAUGGGGAUGAAGACAGUUCAGAAAAUUCCCUCAGCAUGGUUCUAAUGUGGCUGUAUGUUAUGUUCAAGUAACUCGCAUUAGCUUUGUUAACCCAGUUUAUUGCCCACUGAACCUCAACCCAUGUGCCUCCCAUCCUCCCAGAUGUACAUGACCUAGUGUGAUAAGGUGCCUCCUCAGAGCAGCUAGCUGGUAAAAUAUUGCAGUACUUUUUACUGGCUGUGUCACUGGAAACCAAGGGCCUGGAAAGAAACAAGGAGACAGUAGAGCAGCCUUCCUCAAACAGGCACCCAUUAGAUGUGUUGGACUACAACUCCCAUCACCUCAUGUUAGCUGAGGGUGAUGGAUGUGUAAAUUGGGGAAGGCUGCAGUGGAGAAAUGGGGAAAGAUUUGCUGUAAGAACAAGGGGAAAGAGGUAUAGAGGUCUCAGUUUCAAAUAUUGAUGGACACUGGCCAGCAAUCUGCAAGUUUUAAUGGGGAUCCACAGUCUGUGCCAAGUAACAGAAGCAGAAAGAGAAGUGUGUGUGUGGUGGGGGGGAGGAGCAGGAUUUGGAGCCCAUGUAAUAAAAAGCAAGGCAAGACUGUAUGGUGAGAAUUUGGAGGCUGCAGGGUGUGAUGCAGGUCUAUGUUAAGCAUCAGGAAGAAGUCUCUUUGGGGAAAUGCUGGGUUUAUUUUGGAUAAAGCAAUAUUUGAGAGAUACCAAGCCAAAGUAAAUGAGGUGGGAAAGCAGCCAUUCCUGGCAGCCUGAAGGGCUGGAUUGGUAAAAGCCCAAAGCAGCUCCUUUGCUGCAGUUGAUGGAAGGUGGAAGUGGCUGUUUAGGCAGCACAAAUCAGACUGUUCUCAGUCUGCAGACUGUCUGAUUCAUCCCCCCACUCUCCUUAGCCUCCCUGGGGACCAGGUCAAACUUCCUUUGCUAGAACUUCAGGCUUAAUCCUAAUACCUAACAUAUCUGUCUGGAUUUAUGCAGGAGACUAGUUGCCUUUUGGGAAAAGACAGGGUGAGGAAUAAUUGCAGAGAAGCUAAUGACUGACAGUUGUGGAUGAGUGGGGAUAGUUUGAGCUCCUAACCCUUUCCCCCUUUGCCGGAAUUACCCACCCCCGAUCAAGGCAAGUAUGAGAUUGGGCAGCUCUUUUUAUCUGCUGCAGAAUGGGGCAGCCUUCCCACAGUUGGAGCCUGUGUCCCAGGAGCAUUUCUGGAAGCAGCGACUUUGGCAAGAACUGUAAAGAAAAUCCAUUAAGUAGAAGAAGAUGGAAGAACUGGGAGCACUAGAAUCCCUUUGUUUGAAAGCACCAUGGUCUGGAGUGCCGAUUAAAAAGUCUAGGUUCUUCACUGCCACUUUCCAUUCACUUCCCGCUGGUUCCUAGGCACAAUGCAACAUGCUGUGCCCUUUAAAGCCCUAUAUAGUUUGGGCCCAGGAACUCUUAAGGACUGCCUCCACAGCCAUCCAGCCUGCCUAUCAGAUCCAUCUUUCAGAGGUGCAUUUGGUGGUGAGCCAAGAGGAAGCCUUUUCAGUUGCAGUGCCCGAGCGAAACUCCCUCCCUAGAAGUCCAUAUGGCUCCUCGAUUGCAGGCUCCUCUUCUGUUGAGCAGCAGAAUCUACUUUAUUCUGCCCAGCCUUGACUGUGGACUCAGUUUUGUUGCCCCAAAUAUGAAUGAUUGAUUUUUAUUUAUUUUAAGUUGCAUUUUACCUGCAAUGUCCUGCUGCUUCAUGCCUGUGUUUUUAUUUGUGAUGUUUUUUUAAUGGUGAUGUAUUGGGUCUUUUAGUUUUGUUUUUUUCCCUUAAACCUCAUCGAAGCCUUUAAUUGAAAAAGCAGCCUCUAAAUAUAAGGAGGGUGAAGAAUUUGAAGGAAAACCUCUCAUUCAAGUCCUUUUAGAUUUCAAUACAACGCAUACAACAAAUAAAAAGAAACACAGAAAUAUU